rnacentral:rRNA from 1 species
CAGCAGCCGCGGGAAUACAGAGGGUGCGAGCGUUAAUCGGAUUUACUGGGCGUAAAGCGUGCGCAGGCGGUUAUAUAAGACAGAUGUGAAAUCCCCGGGCUCAACCUGGGAACUGCAUUUGUGACUGUAUAGCUAGAGUACGGCAGAGGGGGAUGGAAUUCCGCGUGUAGCAGUGAAAUGCGUAGAUAUGCGGAGGAACACCGAUGGCGAAGGCAAUCCCCUGGGCCUGUACUGACGCUCAUGCACGAAAGCGUGGGGAGCAAACAGGAUUAGAUACCCCCGUAGUCCCUGUCUCUUAUAC